UAUAGACAGUAUAGACAGUAGUAAUAUAGGAUGGUGUGUAUAGACAGUAGUUAUAUAGGAGGGUGUGUAUAGACAGUAGUUAUAUAGGAUGGUGUGUAUAGACAGUAGUUAUAUAGGAUGGUGUGUAUAGACAGUAUAGACAGUAGUUAUAUAGGAUGGUGUGUAUAGACAGUAGUUAUAUAGGAUGGUGUGUAUAGACAGUAGUUAUAUAGGAUGGUGUGUAUAGACAGUAGUUAUAUAGGAUGGUGUGUAUAGACAGUAUAGACAGUAGUUAUAUAGGAUGGUGUGUAUAGACAGUAUAGACAGUAGUUAUAUAGGAUGGUGUUUAUAGACAGUAGUUAGAUAGGAUGGUGUGUAUAGACAGUAGUUAUAUAGGAUGGUGUGUAUAGACAGUAUAGACAGUAGUUAUAUAGGAUGGUGUGUAUAGACAGUAGUUAUAUAGGAUGGUGUGUAUAGACAGUAUAGACAGUAGUUAUAUAGGAUGGUGUGUAUAGACAGUAGUUAUAUAGAAUGAUGUGUGUAGACAGUAUAGACAGUAGUUAUAUAGGAUGGUGUCACACCCUGGCCUUAGUUAUCUUUGUUUCCUUUAUUAUGUUUGUUAGGUCAGGGUGUGACAUGGGGAAGGUUUGUGUUUUGGGUGAUUAUAUGGUUAAGGGGUUGUUGGGUUUUGUGUUUGUGGUUUUGUGUUGAGUGAGUAUGUCUAGGUAUGUCUAUGGUUGCCUGAGUGGUUUCUCAAUCAGAGACAGGUGUCUUUCAUUUGUCUCUGAUUGGGAGCCAUAUUUUAGGCGGCCAUAGGCAUCAUGUGUUUGUUGGGUCAUUGACUUAGUCAUUGUCUUAGUCUGUGUCUUAGUCUGUGUCUAGGUCUGUUUCAAGUUGGCAUGUUUUGCAUUUAGUCGGUUUUGGUUUCACGUUCUUGGAUUUGUUGUUUUGCUUCGUUAGUUCCUCUCCUAAAUAAAGAGAAGAUGUAUUAUUUACACGCUGCGCCUUGGUCCUAUCUCUCUCCCAUGGACGAUCGUGACAGAUGGUGUGUAUAGACAGUAUAGACAGUAGUUAUAUAGAAUGAUGUGUAUAGACAGUAUAGACAGUAGUUAUAUAGGAUGGUGUGUAUAGACAGUAGUUAUAUAGGAUGGUGUGUAUAGACAGUAUAGACAGUAGUUAUAUAGAAUGAUGUGUAUAGACAGUAUAGACAGUAGUUAUAUAGGAUGGUGUGUAUAGACAGUAGUUAUAUAGGAUGGUGUGUAUAGACAGUAUAGACAGUAGUUAUAUAGAAUGAUGUGUAUAGACAGUAUAGACAGUAGUUAUAUAGGAUGGUGUGUAUAGACAGUAGUUAUAUAGGAUGGUGUUUAUAGACAGUAGUUAUAUAGGAUGGUGUGUAUAGACAGUAUAGACAGUAGUUAUAUAGGAUGGUGUGUAUAGACAGUAGUUAUAUAGGAUGGUGUGUAUAGACAGUAGUUAUAUAGGAUGGUGUGUAUAGACAGUAGUUAUAUAGGAUGGUGUGUAUAGACAGUAGUUAUAUAGGAUGGUGUGUAUAGACAGUAGUUAUAUAGGAUGGUGUGUAUAGACAGUAGUUAUAUAGGAUGGUGUGUAUAGACAGUAGUUAUAUAGGAUGGUGUGUAUAGACAGUAGUUAUAUGGGAUGGUGUGUAUAGACAGUAUAGACAGUAGUUAUAUAGGAUGGUGUGUAUUGACAGUAGUUAUAUAGGACGGUGUGUAUAGACAGUAUAGAUAGUAGUUAUAUAGGAUGGUGUGUAUAGACAGUAGUUAUAUAGGAUGGUGUGUAUAGACAGUAGUUAUAUAGGAUGGUGUGUAUAGACAUUAUAGACAGUAGUUAUAUAGGAUGGUGUGUAUAGACAGUAUAGACAGUAGUUAUAUAGGAUGGUGUGUACAGACAGUAGUUAUAUAGGAUGGUGUGUAUAGACAGUAGUUAUAUAGGAUGGGGUGUAUAGACAGUAUAGACAGUAGUUAUAUAGGAUGGUGUGUAUAGACAGUAUAGACAGUAGUUAUAUAGGAUGGUGUUUAUAGACAGUAGUUAUAUAGGAUGGUGUGUAUAGACAGUAUAGACAGUAGUUAUAUAGGAUGGUGUUUAUAGACAGUAGUUAUAUAGGAUGGUGUGUGUAGACAGUAGUUAUAUAGGAUGGGGUGUAUAGACAGUAUAGACAGUAGUUAUAUAGGAUGGUGUGUAUAGACAGUAUAGACAGUAGUAAUAUAGGAUGGUGUGUAUAGACAGUAUAGACAGUAGCUAUAUAGGAUGGUGUGUAUAGACAGUAUAGACAGUAGUAAUAUAGGAUGGUGUGUAUAGACAGUAUAGACAGUAGUUAUAUAGGAUGGUGUGUAUAGACAGUAGUAAUAUAGGAUGGUGUGUAUAGACAGUAUAGACAGUAGCUAUAUAGGAUGGUGUGUAUAGACAGUAGCUAUAUAGGAUGGUGUGUAUAGACAGUAGCUAUAUAGGAUGGUGUGUAUAGACAGUAUAGACAGUAGUAAUAUAGGAUGGUGUGUAUAGACAGUAUAGACAGUAGCUAUAUAGGAUGGUGUGUAUAGACAGUAGCUAUAUAGGAUGGUGUGUAUAGACAGUAGUUAUAUAGGAUGGUGUGUAUAGACAGUAUAGACAGUAGUUAUAUAGGAUGGUGUUUAUAGACAGUAGUUAUAUAGGAUGGUGUGUAUAGACAGUAGUUAUAUAGGAUGGUGUGUAUAGACAGUAUAGACAGUAGUUAUAUAGGAUGGUGUUUAUAGACAGUAGUUAUAUAGGAUGGUGUGUAUAGACAGUAGUUAUAUAGGAUGGUGUGUAUAGACAGUAUAGACAGUAGUUAUAUAGGAUGGUGUUUAUAGACAGUAGUUAUAUAGGAUGGUGUUUAUAGACAGUAGUUAUAUAGGAUGGUGUGUAUAGACAGUAGUUAUAUAGGAUGGUGUGUAUAGACAGUAGUUAUAUAGGAUGGUGUGUAUAGAUGUAACGGAUGUGAAAUGGCUAGCUAGUUGGCGGGUACGCGCUAGUAGCAUUUCAAUCAGUUACGUCACUUGCUCUGAGACUUAAGUAGUGUUGCCCCUUGCUCUGCAAGGGCCGUGGCCUUUGUGGAGCGAUGGGUAACGACCGUGCUUCGUGGGCAACCGUUGUUGAUGUGUGCAGAGGGUCCCUGGUUCGCGCCCGUGUCGGGGCGAGGGGACGGUUUAAAGUUAUACACUUACAUUGAUGCUGUUGACCCGGAUCACUGGUUGCUGCUGAAAAGGAGGAGGUUGAAAGGGGGGUGAGUGUAACGGAUGUGAAAUGGCUAGCUAGUUAGCGGGUACGCGCUAGUAGCAUUUCAAUCAGUUACGUCACUUGCUCUGAGACUUAAGUAGUGUUGCCCCUUGCUCUGCAAGGGCCGUGGCCUUUGUGGAGCGAUGGGUAACGACCGUGCUUCGUGGGCAACCGUUGUGUGCAGAGGGUCCCUGGUUCGCACCCGUGUCGGGGCGAGGGGACGGUUUAAAGUUAUACUGUUACAUAUAUAGGACGGUGUGUAUAGACAGUAUAGACAGUAGUUAUAUAGGAUGGUGUGUAUAGACAGUAGUUAUAUAGGAUGGUGUGUAUAGACAGUAGUUAUAUAGGAUGGUGUGUAUAGACAGUAGUUAUAUAGGAUGGUGUGUAUAGACAGUAGUUAUAUAGGAUGGUGUGUAUAGACAGUAGUUAUAUAGGAUGGUGUGCAUAGACAGUAUAGACAGUAGUUAUAUAGGAUAGUGUGUAUAGACAGCAUAGACAGUAGUUAUAUAGGAUGGUGUGCAUAGACAGUAGUUAUAUAGGAUGGUGUGUAUAGACAGUAGUUAUAUAGGAUGGUGUGUAUAGACAGUAUAGACAGUAGUUAUAUAGGAUGGUGUGUAUAUCAUUUGACAUUUACAUUUUAGUCAUUUAGCAGACGCUCUUAUCCAGAGCGACUUACAGUAGAGUGCAUACAUUUUAUUACAUUUUUUACAUACUGAGACAAGGUUAUCCCUACCGGCCAAUCCCUCCCUAACCCCUAACCCGGACGACGCUAUGCCAAUUGUGCGUCGCCCCACGGACCUCCCGGUUGCGGCCGGCUGCGACAGAGCCUGGGCGUGAACCCAGAGACUCUGCGAUGCAGUGCCCUAGAGCCACUGCGCCACCCGGGAGAUAUACCCGACAGUAGUUAUAUAGGAUGGUGUGUAUAGACAGUAGUUAUAUAGGAUGGUGUGUAUAGACAGUAGUUAUAUAGGAUGGUGUGUAUAGACAGUAUAGACAGUUGUUAUAUAGGAUGGUGUGUAUAGACAGUAUAGACAGUAGUUAUAUAGAAUGAUGUGUAUAGACAGUAUAGACAGUAGUUAUAUAGGAUGGUGUGUAUAGACAGUAGUUAUAUAGGAUGGUGUGUAUAGACAGUAGUUAUAUAGAAUGAUGUGUGUAGACAGUAUAGACAGUAGUUAUAUAGGAUGGUGUGUAUAGAUAGUAGUUAUAUAGGAUGGUGUGUAUAGACAGUAUAGACAGUAGUUAUAUAGGAUGGUGUGUAUAGACAGUAGUUAUAUAGGAUGGUGUUUAUAGACAGUAGUUAUAUAGGAUGGUGUGUAUAGACAGUAGUUAUAUAGGAUGGUGUGUAUAGACAGUAUAGACAGUAGUUAUAUAGGAUGGUGUGUAUAGACAGUAGUUAUAUAGGAUGGUGUGUAUAGAUAGUAGUUAUAUAGGAUGGUGUGUAUAGACAGUAUAGACAGUAGUUAUAUAGAAUGAUGUGUAUAGACAGUAUAGACAGUAGUUAUAUAGGAUGGUGUGUAUAGACAGUAGUUAUAUAGAAUGAUGUGUAUAGACAGUAUAGACAGUAGUUAUAUAGGAUGGUGUGUAUAGACAGUAGUUA